rnacentral:rRNA from 1 species
ACGCUCGACACCUACGGAAGGCAGCAGUGGGGGAUAUUGCACAAUGGGGGAAACCCUGAUGCAGCAACGCCGCGUGAGGGAAGACGGUUUUCGGAUUGUAAACCUCUGUCAUCGGUGACGAUAAUGACGGUAGCCGAUGAGGAAGCUCCGGCUAACUACGUGCCAGCAGCCGCGGUAAUCUGAGGCGGGCUGGACAAGGC